CCUACGUGUGGCAGCAGUGAGGAAUAUUGGUCAAUGGGCGUAAGCCUGAACCAGCCAAGUCGCGUGAGGGAUGAAGGUUCUAUGGAUCGUAAACCUCUUUUAUAAGGGAAUAAAGUGUGGGACGUGUCCUAUUUUGUAUGUACCUUAUGAAUAAGGAUCGGCUAACUCCGUGCCAGCAGCCGCGGUAAUACGGAGGAUCCGAGCGUUAUCCGGAUUUAUUGGGUUUAAAGGGUGCGUAGGCGGCCUUUAAGUCAGGGGGUAAAGUAUGUGGGUCAACCAUAGUAGUGCCGUUGAAACUGGGGGGCUUGAGUGUGUAUGAGGCAGGCGGAAUGCGUGGUGUAGCGGUGAAAUGCUUAGAUAUCACGCAGAACCCCGAUUGCGAAGGCAGCCUGCCAGGCCAUGACUGACGCUGAUGCACGAAAGCGUGGGGAUCAAACAGGAUUAGAUACCCGUGUAGUC
rnacentral:rRNA from 1 species